GGGGGCGUAGCUCAGCUUGGUUAGAGCACUGGACUGUCACUCCAGAGGUCGCGGGUUCGAGCCCCGUCGCUCCCG
rnacentral:tRNA from 2 species